CACUACUUAUCUAUACUUUAGAUUAUAUAUAUUAUAAGAAAGAGAUGUAUAAUAGCUCAGUUUUGAGUAAUUUCUUCUAGAAUUUCAUUCGAUUUGAAACAAGAAGUUUUAAGUAUUACACAAGUUACGUUACUGUAGUCUAGAAUUAAAAACCUGGAUAAAAUAUGUGCCAGCAUCAGCGGUCACACAUAUGGGUUCUCUCAAAAUCAUCAAUAGCAACCUAAAAUUAAAUUACUCUCUAAAAAGUCAUAAUUUAUCGGUACAAUGAUAAUAACUUAUGAUCAAUAAAGUAAAAUUUAGGUGAUAAAUCCGAGAAAAAAACCAGGAUUAGAUACCCUGUUAUUUCGGAAGAAUAAAUGGUAAGUAUAAUUUCACUAUUAGAAAGCUAAAAUAUAUGGCAGAUGAGGUUUCAUUACAGGGGAAUAUGCUGUUUAAUUCGAUGAUCCACGAAAAUCUUACUAAAUCUAGUUAACCUAAUAAGUUUACACCUUGUCCACCUCCGUUAAUAAAAAUUUCAGAUUAUACUUAGCAAUGAACAUUUACUAACAUUAAAUUUAAUGAGUAAAAGGAGUAUAAUAUCCGUAAAACGAUUAUUAUAUAAUUAAUAAAAUCAGGUAAAAGUACAGGUUAUGGUUUAGCACAAGUGUAUUACAUUUUAAAUGAAAAUAUGGAAUCAUAAAUGAAAUGUUUAUGAGGAGAAAGGACUUGUUAGUAAUAAAUUUACAUAUUAAUUUUAUGAACUAUGAUCUCUUCGAUGUACAUAUCGCCCGUCGCCCUCGAGUCAUUCUUGAGGUAAGUCGUAACACAGUGGGCCUAACGGAAGUUGGGCCUGUUUAAAACUAUUUAACUUUCUCUUCAUGGAGAAAUUAAACAUAUAAUUAUAUUAAAA
rnacentral:rRNA from 1 species